rnacentral:tRNA from 1 species
AAGACACUAGUAAAAUAAAUUACAUUAUCUUGUCAAGGCAAUAUUGUGGGUUAAAUUCCCACGUGUCUUA